rnacentral:rRNA from 1 species
CUACGGGUGGCACCAGUGAGGAAUAUUGCACAAUGGGGGAAACCCUGAUGCAGCAACGCCGCGUGGAGGAUGACGCAUUUCGGUGUGUAAACUCCUUUUAUCAGAGAAGAAAAUGACGGUAUCUGAUGAAUAAGCUCCGGCUAACUCCGUGCCAGCAGCCGCGGUAAUACGGAGGGAGCAAGCGUUAUUCGGAAUCACUGGGCGUAAAGGAGGCGUAGGCGGGUUUUUAAGUCAGGUGUGAAAUCCUAUGUCUCAACCAUAGAACUGCACUUGAAACUGGGGACCUAGAGUAUGGAAGGGGCAGGUGGAAUUAGUGGUGUAGGGGUAAAAUCCGUAGAUAUCACUAGGAAUACCGAAAGCGAAGGCGACCUGCUGGGACAUUACUGACGCUGAGGCGUGAAAGCGUGGGGAGCAAACAGGAUUAGAUACCCGUGUAGUC